UGGGGAAUCUUGCGCAAUGGGCGAAAGCCUGACGCAGCGACGCCGCGUGCGGGAUGAAGGCCUUCGGGUUGUAAACCGCUUUCGGGGGGGACGAAGCGAAAGUGACGGUACCCCCAGAAGAAGCCCCGGCUAACUACGUGCCAGCAGCCGCGGUAAGACGUAGGGGGCGAGCGUUGUCCGGAUUUAUUGGGCGUAAAGAGCGCGUAGGCGGCCGGCCAAGUCGGAUGUGAAAAUCCGGGGCUCAACCCCGGACCUGCAUCCGAUACUGGUCGGCUCGAGGCAGGUAGGGGAGAUCGGAAUUCCUGGUGUAGCGGUGAAAUGCGCAGAUAUCAGGAGGAACACCGGUGGCGAAGGCGGAUCUCUGGGCCUGUCCUGACGCUGAGGCGCGAAAGCUAGGGGAGCGAACAGG
rnacentral:rRNA from 1 species